CUACGGGGGGCAGCAGUGGGGAAUAUUGGGCAAUGGGCGAAAGCCUGACCCAGCAACGCCGCGUGAAGGAAGAAGGUUUUCGGAUCGUAAACUUCUAUCCCGGGUGAAGAUAAUGACGGUAGCCCGGAAGGAAGCCCCGGCUAACUACGUGCCAGCAGCCGCGGUAAUACGUAGGGGGCAAGCGUUGUCCGGAAUGAUUGGGCGUAAAGGGCGCGUAGGCGGCCUUUUAAGUCCGAUGUGAAAGUCCUGCUUUUAAGGUGGGAAUUGCAUUGGAAACUGGAAGGCUUGAGUGCAGGAGAGGUAAGUGGAAUUCCCGGUGUAGCGGUGAAAUGCGUAGAGAUCGGGAGGAACACCAGUGGCGAAGGCGACUUACUGGACUGUAACUGACGCUGAGGCGCGAAAGUGUGGGGAGCAAACAGGAUUAGAUACCCGAGUAGUC
rnacentral:rRNA from 1 species